rnacentral:rRNA from 1 species
AUGCAUGGAGCUACAGGAGUACCUGAAGAUAAAAAGAAACACACUUUUACACUCCAGGUCCAAAUUGGAAAACAAGUGGGCCUAGCCUUGGUGGAUAGUGGAAGCACUACCACUUUCAUCUCCCCUGCUCUUGCCUUACAAUCUGGUUGCCCUGUCACACCAGUAAAACAAGUCCAAGUGACAGUAGCUAAUGGGGGCAAAUUAUACAGUGAUUUUUCUCUACACAAAAUCAAGUACAACAUCCAAGGAGUAGAAUUGGUGUAUGAUUUCAGGCUGUUGAAACUCACUAGAUAUGAUAUCAUAUUGGGAGCUGACUGGAUGUAUCAGCACAGCCCUGUCACUUUUGAUCUGCCUAAUAUGAGGUUGGGGAUCAGACAGCCCAAUGGGCAACAAACCAUCUUCCUGGAUGAGAGUUUACCCACUAGUCCUUGCACUCCUAUACUGCAAGACAUGGAAAACAUACUUGAUAACAUGCUCACUGGAGCUUUGAUGUGGAUGCAACCAGUGCAGUUGGAAACCACACAUGACUCUGUCCAAAAACCUGGAAUUACUACCUUAUUGGAAAACUUCAAAGAUGUUUUUGCAGAUCCCACUGGGUUACCUCCACAAAGAGAAUGUGACCAUGCAAUAAACCUUGAACCUGGAGCUCCAGUUAUAAAUCAGAGAGGAUACAGAUUACCACAUCAUCAAAAAAAUGCUUUGGAAGAAAUCAUUAAAGAUCUUCUCCAAAAAGGAAUUAUCAGAUUAAGUCACAGUCCAUAUUCCUCCCCUGCUAUUUUAGUUAAGAAAAAGGACAUGACUUGGAGGUUAUGUAUUGAUUACAGGAAACUAAAUGCACACACAAUCAAAAACAAAUAUCCCAUACCCAUGAUAGAAGACCUCUUGGAUGAAUUGAAUGGAGCAAAAAUCUUCACCAAACUUGAUCUGAGAAGUGGGUAUCAUCAAAUCAGAAUAAAAGAAGGGGACAUAGAGAAAACUGCUUUUAGCACACACAUUGGUCUGUUUGAAUUCUUAAUCAUGCAUUUUGGAGUGACAAAUGGGCCUCCCUCCUUUACAGAACUCAUGCAGACUGUAUUGGGGCCAUUACUGAGACACUGUGUGCUAGUUUUCUUUGAUGAUAUCCUCAUCUUUAGCAAGACCUACAAAGAACACUUGGAACAUGUAGCCCUGGUAUUAGAAGCACUCAGGAAACAUCAGCUCUAUGCUAAGCUCUCUAAGUGCACCUUUGCACAAAACAAAGUGGAGUAUUUGGGUUAUGUGGUGACAGACAAGGGAGUAUCCACAGAUCCUGCAAAAAUAGAAGCCAUAGUAAACUGGCACACACCUCAGAAUGUGACACACCUGAGGAGUUUCUUGGGACUAGCAGGGUACUACAGGAGGUUUAUUCAGAAUUAUGGACUGAUUUGCAAGCCACUGUUUGAUGCAUUGAAAAAGGAAGGAUUUCAAUGGACUGACAGGCAAAUGACUGCUUUCCAACAACUAAAGACCAGGAUGACUUCUGCACCAGUCCUGGCCUUGCCUGAUUUCUCCCUCCCCUUUGUCCUCGAAGCUGAUGCUUCUGGAUAUGGAAUUGGAGCAGUGUUCAUGCAUAAGGGACAGCCCAUUGCUUAUAUGAGCAAAGCUCUAGGCCCUAAAGCUGCUGCUUGGUCCACAUAUGACAAAGAAGCACUGUCCAUCAUUGAAGCACUUAAGAAGUGUAAACAUUACUUUGCUUCAUCCUCUCUAAUCAUCAAAACUGACCAGCAGAGUUUAAAGUACAUACAGGAGCAAAAGGUAACUGAAGGGGUGCAGCACAAACUUCUCAUUAAACUCAUGGGGUACAAAUUCAUAGUGGAGUACAAGAAAGGCAAGAAAAAUAGAGUAGCUGAUGCUCUCUCCAGAGUUAAAUAUGCCAUGAAUGCCCUGGGCUCUAGCUCUGCAAUUCCUUCUUGGAUUUCUGAAGUGGUGAACAGUUACAAAGGAGACACUAAAUGUGCUGAUCUAAUUGCUAAGCUAGCACUAGAUCCUACUGGCCAACCUCCUUAUACUCUCACCAGUGGAGUGCUCAGAUACAAGGGAAAAAUCAUGAUUGGCAACAACAGUGAACUGAAAAAUUCCUUGCUCACUUCUUUUCACAAGUCUGAACUAGGUGGACACUCGGGGGAAAGAGCAACUUAUCAUAGGUUGAAAAUCCUUUUCACUUGGCCUGGCAUGAGGAAGGCAGUGCAAACCUUUGUCCAGCAGUGCCCUGUCUAUCAAUUGAACAAGGCCCAACAUGUGCAUUCCCCUGGCCUGUUGCAACCUCUUCCAGUUCCAGAUUUUGCUUAG